AAGCAACCAACUUUGACAACACAUUAAUGCCUCCACAAUAUUUGGAUGAAGUCUACUACGAUGAGGCGACACCAAUCUACCACUAGUACUGAAAGCAGAUUCUGAAGCAAUGGUAGAAACUGGAAUAGCUAAUAAAUCUUUGGCAACCUUACUCAAAGUUGGAUAUUUCUUUCCUUCCACUUGCCACCAUGACGAAACAUCCAAAUCAUCCUCAAAUGGUGAUCUCUUAGCCUCUAAAUACAAGUCCAACUCUGAUGUAUCAGCCUAAUGUGU